rnacentral:rRNA from 1 species
AUUGAACGCUGGCGGCAUGCUUUACACAUGCAAGUCGAACGGUAACAGGCCGCAAGGUGCUGACGAGUGGCGAACGGGUGAGUAAUGCAUCGGAACGUGCCCAGUCGUGGGGGAUAACGCAGCGAAAGCUGCGCUAAUACCGCAUACGAUCUAUGGAUGAAAGCGGGGGACCGUAAGGCCUCGCGCGAUUGGAGCGGCCGAUGUCAGAUUAGGUAGUUGGUGGGGUAAAGGCUCACCAAGCCGACGAACUGUAGCUGGUCUGAGAGGACGACCAGCCACACUGGGACUGAGACACGGCCCAGACUCCUACGGGAGGCAGCAGUGGGGAAUUUUGGACAAUGGGCGCAAGCCUGAUCCAGCAAUGCCGCGUGCAGGAAGAAGGCCUUCGGGUUGUAAACUGCUUUUGUACGGAACGAAAAGGCUCUGGUUAAUACCUGGGGCUCAUGACGGUACCGUAAGAAUAAGCACCGGCUAACUACGUGCCAGCCGCCGCCGUAAAAC